rnacentral:rRNA from 1 species
UACGUAGGUGACAAGCGUUGUCCGGAUUUACUGGGCGUAAAGAGCGCGCAGGCGGUCGAUCAAGUCGAGUGUGAAAGCCCCCGGCUCAACUGGGGAGGGUCAUUCGAUACUGAUCGACUCGAAGGCAGGAGAGGGUAGUGGAAUUCCAGGUGCAGCGGUGAAAUGCGUAGAGAUGCGGAGGAACACCGAUGGCGAAGGCAGCCCCCUGGGCCAACACUGACGCUCAGGCACGAAAGCGUGGGGAGCAAACAGG